rnacentral:rRNA from 1 species
AUUGAACGCUGGCGGCAUGCCUUACACAUGCAAGUCGAACGGCAGCACGGGUGCUUGCACCUGGUGGCGAGUGGCGAACGGGUGAGUAAUACAUCGGAACGUACCUUAUCGUGGGGGAUAACGCAGCGAAAGCUGUGCUAAUACCGCAUACGCCCUGAGGGGGAAAGCGGGGGAUCGAAAGACCUCGCGCGAUUAGAGCGGCCGAUGCCUGAUUAGCUUGUUGGUGGGGUAAAAGCCCACCAAGGCGACGAUCAGUAGCUGGUCUGAGAGGACGAUCAGCCACACUGGGACGAAGACACGGCCCAGACUCCUACGGGAGGCAGCAGUGGGGAAUUUUGGACAAUGGGGGCAACCCUGAUCCAGCAAUGCCGCGUGAGUGAAGAAGGCCUUCGGGUUGUAAAGCUCUUUUGUCAGGGAAUAAACACCGGCUCUAACACAGUCCGGGAAUGACGGUACCUGAAGAAUAAGCACCGGCUAACUACGUGCCAGCAGCCGCCGUAA